UAUAUGAGGUACAGGUCAGUA
rnacentral:piRNA from 1 species